GAGGGCGGGAGCAAGCGUGAUCCGGAAUCACUGGGUUUAAAGGGUGCGGAGGCGGCUUAAUAAGUCAGAGGUGAAAGGCUGUGGCUCAAGCAUGGGAUUGCCUUUGAUACUGUUAGGCUUGAAUCAGGCUGAGGUUGGCAGAAUGUGGCAUGUAGCGGUGAAAUGCAUAGAUAUGGCAUAGAAUACCGAUUGCGAAGGCACCUGACUGGCCCUUGAGUGACGCUGAGGCACGAAGGCGUGGGGAGCGAACAGG
rnacentral:rRNA from 1 species